rnacentral:rRNA from 1 species
UACGUAGGGUGCGAGCGUUGUCCGGAAUUAUUGGGCGUAAAGAGCUCGUAGGCGGUGUGUCACGUCGUUCGUGAAAACCUGCAGCUUAACUGUGGGCGUGCGGUCGAUACGGGCAUCACUGGAGUUCGGCAGGGGAGACUGGAAUUCCUGGUGUAGCGGUGAAAUGCGUAGAUAUCUGGAGGAACACCGGUGGCGAAGGCGGCAUCCUGGACCGAGAUUGACGCUGAGGCGCGAAAGCCAGGGGAGCAAACGGG